CUAGUUCCAAGCCUCUGCUAUGGGUUGGGCUGCCUCCCACCAGCUCAGGCUGCUCGGGGCCCCAUCUAACCUGGCCUUGAGCACCACCAUAGAUGGGGCAUCCACAGCUCUCUCAGCAGCCUGUGUCAGCGCCUCACCACCCUAAGGGUUUGCAGUGCUGGCUGAAAUACGCAGGCCAGCUGCCUGCCGGUGGCAGCAGGAAAACAGGCAGACAAAGCAGAUGGACCCAGCAGGGGUGGAGGAGCGCUGUCUUCAGCGGGCCAUAGGCAUCACUGAAGAGUAAACAGCUCUCGGAAGGGAGCCGGGAGCUAACCCCAAACCCGUCCUCUCCAAAGUACUCAAUCACAGCACAUUAACAAGAGCGCCUGGACUGCUGGGGGAGAGUAAACAAUGAGAGGCCGUGCUGGCGGGAGAGUGGGAAAAGCGCAGCCCCCCUCCAGCUCAGAUUUAUUGUAAGAGGGUGUAAAAAGCAACUCGUGGCUCAGUGUGCUGUCAGCGAGCCGCACUCGUUGUCAAUGCUCAUCUCCUUGUGGGAAAGCCACCCUUUGCCUUCGCGGGUAGAGUGGGCGCCUGCGUGCUGCUGGACACGCAGGGAUGCUCAGAGAGGCCGGGAGGCAGCAGCAGAGGUGAGAGGUGAAACCUUCCCUCCCGCAGGCAAAUAUGCUUCAAUGCUUGUCCUGAACCAGGCAGGGAUAGCACCAGGGCUACGGCUCCUUCAAACCACAGCCACCCAAGUGAGCUGCCCAUUUGGACGAGGGAAGCAUGUCUGAGGACCCAGCGCUAUUGUUCAGAGCAGGAGGGGGUGAUCUCCUCCUGCCCACACCAGCGUGACUUCCUUGGUUUGAGAGCGGCUCCUGAUUUAUGCCCAGGGGCUGGAGCCCGCUCGCCGGGCGCUGCUCUUUCAUCUACAGCAUUGCAGUGAAAUUUGUUUACAGAGCUCUUGGCGCGAUCACAGAUUCUUUCUCCCCU
rnacentral:lncRNA from 1 species